GUGGGGGAUAUUGCACAAUGGAGGAAACUCUGAUGCAGCGACGCCGCGUGAGUGAAGAAGUAUUUCGGUAUGUAAAGCUCUAUCAGCAGGGAAGAUAAUGACAGUACCUGACUAAGAAGCCCCGGCUAACUACGUGCCAGCAGCCGCGGUAAUACGUAGGGGGCAAGCGUUAUCCGGAUUUACUGGGUGUAAAGGGAGCGUAGACGGAAUGGCAAGUCUGAAGUGAAAUCCUGCGGCUUAACUACAGAAUUGCUUUGGAAACUGUCAAUCUGGAGUGUUGGAGAGGUAAGCGGAAUUCCUGGUGUAGCGGUGAAAUGCGUAGAUAUCAGGAAGAACACCGGAGGCGAAGGCGACUUACUGGACAAUAACUGACGUUGAGGCUCGAAAGCGUGGGAAGCAAACAGGAUAGAUACCCGUGUAGUCC
rnacentral:rRNA from 1 species